GAGCAUGUAGGCGGCUAUGUAAGUCGGUUGUGAAAGCCUUCCGCUUAACGGAAGAAUGGCGGUCGAAACUGCAUGGCUUGAGUGCGGGAGGGGAGAGUGGAACUUCUGGUGGAGCGGUGAAAUGCGUAGAUAUCAGAAGGAACGUCGGCGGCGAAAGCGACUCUCUAGGCCGUAACUGACGCUGAGUGUGCGAAAGCUAGGGGAGCAAACGGGAUUAGAUACCCCGGUAGUCCUAGCCGUAAACGAUGGGCACUAA
rnacentral:rRNA from 1 species